AAGGUGUCAGUAUAAAGGUACCACAGUAUUACUCCUUAAAGGUGUCAGUAUAAAGGUGUCACAGUAUUACUCCUUAAAGGUGUCAGUAUAAAGGUACCACAGUAUUACUCCUUAAAGGUGUCAGUAUAAAGGUACCACAGUAUUACUCCUUAAAGGUGUCAGUAUAAAGGUACCACAGUAUUACUCCUUAAAGGUGUCAGUAUAAAGGUACCACAGUAUUACUCCUUAAAGGUGUCAGUAUAAAGGUACCACAGUAUUACU